GAUGAACGCUGGCGGCGUGCCUAAUACAUGCCAGUCGAGCGAACGGACGAGAAGCUUGCUUCUCUGAUGUUAGCGGCGGACGGGUGAGUCACACGUGGAUAACCUACCUAUAAGACUGGGAUAACUUCGGGAAACCGGAGCUAAUACCGGAUGAUAUUUUGAACCGCAUGGUUCAUAAGUGAAAGACGUUCUUGCUGUCACUUAUAUAUGGAUCCUCGCUGCAUUAGCUAGUUGGUAAGGUAACGGCUUACCAAGGCAACGAUGCAUAGCCGACCUGAGAGGGUGAUCGGCCACACUGGAACUGAGACACGGUCCAGACUCCUACGGGAGGCAGCAGUAGGGAAUCUUCCGCAAUGGGCGAAAGCCUGAUGGAGCAACCCCGCGUGAGUGAUGAAGGUCUUCGGAUCGUAAAACUCUGUUGGUAGGGAAGAACAGAUGUGUAAGAAACUGUGCACACCUUGACGGUAUCUAAUGAAAAAGCAACGGCUAACUACGUG
rnacentral:rRNA from 1 species